rnacentral:rRNA from 1 species
CUGAAGGAACGUUGAAGACGACGACGUUGAUAGGCCGGGUGUGUAAGCGCAGCGAUGCGUUGAGCUAACCGGUACUAAUGAACCGUGAGGCUUAACCUUACAACGCCGAAGAUGUUUUG